GAGUUUGAUCAUGGCUCAGGAUGAACGCUGGCGGCGUGCCUAACACAUGCAAGUCGAGCGAACUCUUCGGAGUGAGCGGCGGACGGGUGAGUAACGCGUGGGUAACCUGCCCUGUACACAUGGAUAACAUACCGAAAGGUAUGCUAAUACAAGAUAAAAUGUAUUUAUCGCAUGAUAGAUAUAUCAAAGCGUUAGAGGUACAGGAUGGACCCGCGUCUGAUUAGCUAGUUGGUAAGGUAAAGGCUUACCAAGGCGACGAUCAGUAGCCGACCUGAGAGGGUGAUCGGCCACAUUGGAACUGAGACACGGUCCAAACUCCUACGGGAGGCAGCAGUAGGGAUCUUCCACAAUGGACAAAGUCUGACGGAGCAACGCCGCGUGAGUGAU
rnacentral:rRNA from 1 species